GCAGAGGAAAAUUGUUUUUCAAACUUCGGUUCUUGAAAUCCGGUUCUCCACUGGGGAGCGGGGGUUCAAAUCCCUCCCUCUGCG
rnacentral:tRNA from 1 species